rnacentral:rRNA from 1 species
UUUAUGGAGAGUUUGAUCCUGGCUCAGGAUGAACGCUGGCGGCGUGCCUAAUACAUGCAAGUCGAGCGAACGGACGAGAAGCUUGCUUCUCUGAUGUUAGCGGCGGACGGGUGAGUAACACGUGGAUAACCUACCUAUAAGACUGGGAUAACUUCGGGAAACCGGAGCUAAUACCGGAUAAUAUUUUGAACCGCAUGGUUCAAAAGUGAAAGACGGUCUUGCUGUCACUUAUAGAUGGAUCCGCGCUGCAUUAGCUAGUUGGUAAGGUAACGGCUUACCAAGGCAACGAUGCAUAGCCGACCUGAGAGGGUGAUCGGCCACACUGGAACUGAGACACGGUCCAGACUCCUACGGGAGGCAGCAGUAGGGAAUCUUCCGCAAUGGGCGAAAGCCUGACGGAGCAACGCCGCGUGAGUGAUGAAGGUCUUCGGAUCGUAAAACUCUGUUAUUAGGGAAGAACAUAUGUGUAAGUAACUGUGCACAUCUUGACGGUACCUAAUCAGAAAGCCACGGCUAACUACGUGCCAGCAGCCGCGGUAAUACGUAGGUGGCAAGCGUUAUCCGGAAUUAUUGGGCGUAAAGCGCGCGUAGGCGGUUUUUUAAGUCUGAUGUGAAAGCCCACGGCUCAACCGUGGAGGGUCAUUGGAAACUGGAAAACUUGAGUGCAGAAGAGGAAAGUGGAAUUCCAUGUGUAGCGGUGAAAUGCGCAGAGAUAUGGAGGAACACCAGUGGCGAAGGCGACUUUCUGGUCUGUAACUGACGCUGAUGUGCGAAAGCGUGGGGAUCAAACAGGAUUAGAUACCCUGGUAGUCCACGCCGUAAACGAUGAGUGCUAAGUGUUAGGGGGUUUCCGCCCCUUAGUGCUGCAGCUAACGCAUUAAGCACUCCGCCUGGGGAGUACGACCGCAAGGUUGAAACUCAAAGGAAUUGACGGGGACCCGCACAAGCGGUGGAGCAUGUGGUUUAAUUCGAAGCAACGCGAAGAACCUUACCAAAUCUUGACAUCCUUUGACAACUCUAGAGAUAGAGCCUUCCCCUUCGGGGGACAAAGUGACAGGUGGUGCAUGGUUGUCGUCAGCUCGUGUCGUGAGAUGUUGGGUUAAGUCCCGCAACGAGCGCAACCCUUAAGCUUAGUUGCCAUCAUUAAGUUGGGCACUCUAAGUUGACUGCCGGUGACAAACCGGAGGAAGGUGGGGAUGACGUCAAAUCAUCAUGCCCCUUAUGAUUUGGGCUACACACGUGCUACAAUGGACAAUACAAAGGGCAGCGAAACCGCGAGGUCAAGCAAAUCCCAUAAAGUUGUUCUCAGUUCGGAUUGUAGUCUGCAACUCGACUACAUGAAGCUGGAAUCGCUAGUAAUCGUAGAUC